rnacentral:rRNA from 1 species
UCCAGGCAAAUCCGGAUAAUCAAGGCUGAGGUGUGAUGACGAGGCACUACGGUGCUGAAGUAACAAAUGCCCUGCUUCCAGGAAAAGCCUCUAAGCAUCAGGUAACAUCAAAUCGUACCCCAAACCGACACAGGUGGUCAGGUAGAGAAUACCAAGGCGCUUGAGAGAACUCGGGUGAAGGAACUAGGCAAAAUGGUGCCGUAACUUCGGGAGAAGGCACGCUGGUGUGUAGGUGAAGCCCCUGCGGGUGGAGCUGAGACCAGUCGAAGAUACCAGCUGGCUGCAACUGUUUAUUAAAAACACAGCACUGUGCAAACACGAAAGUGGACGUAUACGGUGUGACGCCUGCCCGGUGCCGGAAGGUUAAUUGAUGGGGUUAUCCGUAAGGAGAAGCUCUUGAUCGAAGCCCCGGUAAACGGCGGCCGUAACUAUAACGGUCCUAAGGUAGCGAAAUUCCUUGUCGGGUAAGUUCCGACCUGCACGAAUGGCGUAAUGAUGGCCAGGCUGUCUCCACCCGAGACUCAGUGAAAUUGAACUCGCUGUGAAGAUGCAGUGUACCCGCGGCAAGACGGAAAGACCCCGUGAACCUUUACUAUAGCUUGACACUGAACAUUGAGCCUUGAUGUGUAGGAUAGGUGGGAGGCUUUGAAGCGUGGACGCCAGUCUGCGUGGAGCCAACCUUGAAAUACCACCCUUUAAUGUUUGAUGUUCUAACGUUGGCCCCUGAUCGGGGUUGCGGACAGUGUCUGGUGGGUAGUUUGACUGGGGCGGUCUCCUCCCAAAGCGUAACGGAGGAGCACGAAGGUUAGCUAAUCCUGGUCGGACAUCAGGAGGUUAGUGCAAUGGCAUAAGCUAGCUUGACUGCGAGCGUGACGGCGCGAGCAGGUGCGAAAGCAGGUCAUAGUGAUCCGGUGGUUCUGAAUGGAAGGGCCAUCGCUCAACGGAUAAAAGGUACUCCGGGGAUAACAGGCUGAUACCGCCCAAGAGUUCAUAUCGACGGCGGUGUUUGGCACCUCGAUGUCGGCUCAUCACAUCCUGGGGCUGAAGUAGGUCCCAAGGGUAUGGCUGUUCGCCAUUUAAAGUGGUACGCGAGCUGGGUUUAGAACGUCGUGAGACAGUUCGGUCCCUAUCUGCCGUGGGCGCUGGAGAAUUGAGGGGGGCUGCUCCUAGUACGAGAGGACCGGAGUGGACGCAUCACUGGUGUUCGGGUUGUCAUGCCAAUGGCACUGCCCGGUAGCUAAAUGCGGAAGAGAUAAGUGCUGAAAGCAUCUAAGCACGAAACUUGCCCCGAGAUGAGUUCUCCCUGAGACUUUAAGUCUCCUGAAGGAACGUUGAAGACGACGACGUUGAUAGGCCGGGUGUGUAAGCGCAGCGAUGCGUUGAGCUAACCGGUACUAAUGAACCGUGAGGCUUAACC